rnacentral:rRNA from 1 species
GAAUUUAAUAUUUUAUGUGUAUAAUUUGGAUUAUUUUUAUAAAUAUUAAAAUAUUUUAUUGGGAGGAUAAUUAAAUAGGAGAAACUUUAAAUUUUAAAUAAUAAAUCAUUAAUUUAUGAGAAAUAUAAUAAAUAAAGAUAUUUAAUUGAAAAUUAAUUACCUUAGGGAUAACAGCAUGAUAUUUUUUUGUAGAUCGUAUAUAAAAAAGUGUUUGU